rnacentral:rRNA from 1 species
GGCGUGCCUAAUACAUGCAAGUCGAGCGCAGGAAGUCGACGGAACCCUUCGGGGGGAAGUCGACGGAAUGAGCGGCGGACGGGUGAGUAACACGUAAAGAACCUGCCCUCAGGUCUGGGAUAACCACGAGAAAUCGGGGCUAAUACCGGAUGGGUCAUCGGACCGCAUGGUCCGAGGAUGAAAGGCGCUCCGGCGUCGCCUGGGGAUGGCUUUGCGGUGCAUUAGCUAGUUGGUGGGGUAAUGGCCCACCAAGGCGACGAUGCAUAGCCGACCUGAGAGGGUGAUCGGCCACACUGGGACUGAGACACGG